UACAGAGGGUGCAAGCGUUGUUCGGAAUCAUUGGGCGUAAAGGGCGCGUAGGCGGUUUUGUAAGUCGAAUGUGAAAGCCCAGGGCUCAACCUUGGAAGUGCAUCCGAAACUGCGAAACUUGAAUCCUGGAGAGGGUGGUGGAAUUCCCAGUGUAGAGGUGAAAUUCGUAGAUAUUGGGAGGAACACCGGUGGCGAAGGCGACCACCUGGACAGAGAUUGACGCUGAGGCGCGAGAGCGUGGGGAGCAAACAGG
rnacentral:rRNA from 1 species